GGCUGAAGCAGGAGAAUCGCUUGAACCCGGGAAAGGGAGAUUGCAGUAAACCAAGAUCGUACCACCACACUCCAGCUUGGAUGACAGAGCGAGACUCUGUCUCAAAAAAAAAAAAAAAAUUCAUGUGACAAUUGUAUGAUUCCACUUAUAUGAGGUACUUAGAAUAGUUAAAUUCACAGAGACAGAAAGUAGAACAGUGGUUAUCAGAGGCCAAGGGGAUGGAGGAGCUGCUCACGGCGAGUUAUUGCUUCAAGGGUACAGAGUUUCAGUUUGGGAUGAUAAAAAAUUCUGGAGCUGGUUGGGAGUGAUGAUUGCACAACAGUGUGAAUGUACUUAAUGCCACUGAACUGUACACCUAAAAUGGUUAAACAGUAAAUUUUAUGUCAAAUAUAUUUUACCAUAAUAACAUUUUUAAAAAUUGAUGGGAAAUAUUAUUUUGCAAUGGAAUAGUUGCAAGUUGUUUGUUAAUUGUUCAAACCACCUUGGUACUUGCUCAUUUGGUUGAGGGAGAUUAGAGGGAAGAAAUUGCAAAAGAUGUUUUGCUAGUGUGUACUACAAGAUUUCAGAUGACUUGUUGCCUGGUAUAGUAGCUGCACUUCUUUAAACUUUGCUAUACUGUAUAUACAGCCAGGAAUGUUUUUCUCAAGGACAUGGCAGCUACCUCUUUGAAAUAAAAUCUUCAAGGGAGAUAGUUUUCCUAACUCUUACUUUUGUGGGAGGGUAGGAGUCUAACUUCAGUGGGUAUCUUGCUCCAAGCUGCAAAACUGCCUCCUGUCUUAGAGAUAUGAAACAUCUGUUUCUUCUUUGGAUAAAGCCAACUAGCAAACAAAGACCACCCCCAAUUAACAGAUACAUUUAAGAUGGACUAUAUGUGAUGAAUGAUGCUGUCAACUCCUCUUACUUGGGGACAAGUUAUCAUUUAUCAUAAGAAUAUGUAUGUCAUAGAUUGCAUCUGCUUGACAUCACAAAAUAUACCAGGAAAAAAGGGUGAAAUGUAUCCCUUUCUUGGUUGGGUGCGGUGGCUCAUGCCUGUAAUCCCAGCACUUUGGGAGGCAAAGGUGGGUGGAUCACCUGAGCCCAGGAGUUCCAGACCAGCCUGGGCAAUAUGGUGAGACCCCCCACCGUCUCUACAAAAAAUACAAAAAUUAGCUGGGUGUGAUGGCAUGUCCCCUGCACUCCCAGCUCCUUGGGAGGCUGAGGUAGGAGGAUGGAUUGAGCCUGAGAGGUCAAGACUGCGGUGAGCUAUGUGAUUGUACCACUGCAUUCCAGCCUGGGUGACAGAGUGAGACCCUUUCUCAAAAAAAAAAAAAAAA
ensembl:lncRNA novel transcript